rnacentral:rRNA from 1 species
UGGGGAAUAUUGCGCAAUGGGGGGAACCCUGACGCAGCAACGCCGCGUGCAGGAAGACGGUCUUCGGAUUGUAAACUGUUGUCGCAGGGGAAGAAAAAAAUGACGGUACCCUGUGAGAAAGUCACGGCUAACUACGUGCCAGCAGCCGCGGUAAUACGUAGGUGACAAGCGUUGUCCGGAUUUACUGGGUGUAAAGGGCGCGUAGGCGGGUGUGCAAGUCAGGAGUGAAAUACCGGAGCUUAACUCCGGAGCUGCUUUUGAAACUGUACAUCUUGAGUAUCGGAGAGGAAAGCGGAAUUCCCAGUGUAGCGGUGAAAUGCGUAGAUAUUGGGAGGAACACCAGUGGCGAAGGCGGCUUUCUGGACGACAACUGACGCUGAGGCGCGAAAGUGUGGGGAGC